rnacentral:rRNA from 1 species
UACAGAGGGUGCGAGCGUUAAUCGGAAUUACUGGGCGUAAAGCGCACGUAGGCGGCUUGGUAUGUCGGGUGUGAAAUCCCCCGGGCUCAACCUGGGAACUGCAUCCGAAACUGCCUUGCUCGAGUAUGGGAGAGGGAAGUGGAAUUUCCGGUGUAGCGGUGAAAUGCGUAGAUAUCGGAAGGAACAUCAGUGGCGAAGGCGACUUCCUGGACCAAUACUGACGCUCAGGUGCGAAAGCGUGGGGAGCAAACAGGG